rnacentral:rRNA from 1 species
AUUUGCGCAAUGGGCGAAAGCCUGACGCAGCAACGCCGCGUGAGUGAAGAAGGCCUUCGGGUCGUAAAGCUCUGUCAUAGGAGAAGAAGCGCUAUUAUAGAAAAUACGAUAGUAUGACGGUAUCCUAGGAGGAAGCCACGGCUAACUACGUGCCAGCAGCCGCGGUAAUACGUAGGUGGCGAGCGUUGUCCGGAAUUACUGGGCGUAAAGGGCGUGUAGGCGGUCUAGCAAGUCUAAUGUGAAACCCCAGGGCUUAACCUUGGGCAUGCAUAAGAAACUGCAGGACUUGAGGGCAAGAGAGGAAAGUGGAAUUCCUAGUGUAGCGGUGAAAUGCGUAGAUAUUAGGAGGAACACCGGUGGCGAAGGCGACUUUCUGGAUUGUCCCUGACGCUGAGGCGCGAAAGCGUGGGGAGCAAACAGGAUUAGAUACCCUGGUAGUCCACGCCGUAAACGAUGGGUACUAGGUGUUGGAGGUAUCGACCCCUUCAGUGCCGGAGCAAACGCAAUAAGUACCCCGCCUGGGGAGUACGGCCGCAAGGCUGAAACUCAAAGGAAUUGACGGGGGCCCGCACAAGCGGCGGAGCAUGUGGUUUAAUUCGACGCAACGCGAAGAACCUUACCAGGGCUUGACAUCCCUUGACGCUUGUAGAGAUACAAGUUUCCUUUUAGGACAAGGAGACAGGUGGUGCAUGGUUGUCGUCAGCUCGUGUCGUGAGAUGUUGGGUUAAGUCCCGCAACGAGCGCAACCCCUGUUCUUAGUUGCCAGCAUUAAGUUGGGCACUCUAAGGAGACUGCCGGUGACAAACCGGAGGAAGGUGGGGAUGACGUCAAAUCAUCAUGCCCCUUAUGUCCUGGGCUACACACGUGCUACAAUGGUCGGUACAGAGGGCAGCAAAGCUGCGAAGCGGAGCGAAUCCCAAAAAGCCGAUCACAGUUCGGAUUGCAGGCUGCAACUCGCCUGCAUGAAGUCGGAAUCGCUAGUAAUCGCAGGUCAGCAUACUGCGGUGAAUAC